rnacentral:rRNA from 1 species
UACGUAGGGGGCAAGCGUUGUCCGGAUUUAUUGGGCGUAAAGAGCGUGUAGGCGGCUUUACAGGUCCGUUGUGAAAACUCGAGGCUCAACCUCGAGACGCCGGUGGAAACCGUAAAGCUAGAGUCCGGAAGAGGAGAGUGGAAUUCCUGGUGUAGCGGUGAAAUGCGCAGAUAUCAGGAGGAACACCCGUGGCGAAAGCGGCUCUCUGGGACGGUACUGACGCUGAGACGCGAAAGCUAGGGGAGCAAACGGG